rnacentral:lncRNA from 1 species
AUUUUAGGAAAUAGUAAAAAGACCUGAGUUCAGGCCGGCCUCUGGAUUUGCAGAAUCAUUAAAACUAUUAGGCUGAAUUUAGAUUAUUAUUGUAAGGAAUCAAAUACAGGCCGGCUUACCAGUGAAGUCUGCCAUGUUGGAUUAUGUCGUUGUCUUGUCAUUGUAUUUUCUGGAUGGUUGUUUUUAUUAUUAAUAUGAGUUUUGUUAAUUUUAGAAUAACUAAAUGAAUAUAUUUAUUGGAUAAUGUAAGGUAGGAAUUAAUUUAAUUGAAAUUGUUUAAAAUAAUUUUUUAUGCUGUAUAAUAAUUUUCUUCAUUUUCUUAUGCUAAUUAUGUAUGGUAUAAUAGAAGUGCCGUAUGACAAUGUGGAGAGAUCCUCCUCUCGGUCGGCUAGGAGGUGUGGCCAGAUAGCAGCAAGGACUAGAGUGCUGGAUUUGUUGUGUGUCCUUUUUCUGGAUUUUGUGAACUUUGUAAUGCUGCGGCAGAUUGGUGUUUUUAAGGUACUGAUUUUUAAGAGUAAAUCUGGUCAAGACGUAUGAGGGAGAGAAGGACAAUAUGUUCAUUUAACACUUUUGUUUAUUAUUUAUUAAUUGUAAAGCAAGUUUGUGUUCAAAUAAAAUGGAGUUUUGGCUAAUGGAAUAUUUUGUGGAGGCAGUUAAUUCACUGUUACAAUGGUUGGACUCCCAUGAAGUUAAUGUCCAGAUCAGCUUCCAUACCACAACAAAAAUGGAAUUUGAGGGCAUGCGGGGACCGAAUUACCGCAACAUGAGGAAUGUUGCAUUAUUAUUAUUAUUGAUAUUUUUGAGACUUUGGAAAUAAAGCAGUUCUUAAGUUUCCCUAUCCAUAUUGAAUCAAUUAACUUCAAAUGAUAUCGUAAUAAUUGGUCAAUAGCUAUAUGAUGUCAUUUAUUUAUAUUGCAUCAUAUGCUUUUG